UAAUACGUAGGGUGCAAGCGUUGUCCGGAAUUAUUGGGCGUAAAGAGCUCGUAGGCGGUCUGUCACGUCGGACGUGAAAAUCCAGGGCUCAACCCUGGACCUGCGUUCGAUACGGGCAGACUAGAGUUCGGUAGGGGAGACUGGAAUUCCUGGUGUAGCGGUGAAAUGCGCAGAUAUCAGGAGGAACACCGGUGGCGAAGGCGGGUCUCUGGGCCGAAACUGACGCUGAGGAGCGAAAGCGUGGGGAGCGAACAGGAUUAGAUACCCUGGUAGUCCACGCCGUAAACGUUGGGCGCUAGGUGUGGGGAACCUUCCACGUUCUCCGUGCCGCAGCUAACGCAUUAAGCGCCCCGCCUGGGGAGUACGGCCGCAAGGCUA
rnacentral:rRNA from 1 species